GCAAGCGUUGUCCGGAAUUAUUGGGCGUAAAGAGCUCGUAGGCGGUCUGUUACGUCUGCUGUGAAAACCCGGGGCUUAACCCUGGGCUUGCAGUGGAUACGGGCAGACUAGAGGCAGGUAGGGGAGAAUGGAAGUCCCGGUGUAGCGGUGAAAUGCGCAGAUAUCGGGAGGAACACCAGCGGCGAAGGCGGCUUUCUGGACCAAUACUGACGCUGAGACGCGAAAGCGUGGGGAGCAAACAGG
rnacentral:rRNA from 1 species